ACUGGAUCGGAGGUUAUGGGAGGUGGGAAAAGCUGAGGAGAGCAUUUUGCUCAGGAAGGGUGGGAGUUUCCCAGAAAAGCUCUUAAACACAAGGCUGGAAAGAUGAAGGGUGCGUCUGCAUUCCAGCGACAGCCAGUUUAGUUUUAGCAUGUCACAAUGGUGGGUCCUGUAAUUACAUUGUAGCACAAAUCGGCAGAACGAGUUAUACAAUGUAUUGAGUUUAUUAAUGUGGGAUUGCGAUGCAGAUGCAUAUACUACAUCCCCAUAAUCAAUGAUUGGCAUCAGCAUUUGCUGUACAAUCGUUUCCUUUACUGUAGGGCUUAUGCAGGAUUUGUUUCUGUACAGGGCACCAAGUUUUGGAUAAAGUUUAGAUGCAAGUUUUUCUAUGUG